rnacentral:rRNA from 1 species
CCUACGGGAGGCAGCAGUGGGGAAUAUUGCGCAAUGGGCGAAAGCCUGACGCAGCGACGCCGCGUGAGGGAUGAAGGUCUUCGGAUCGUAAACCUCUGUCAGCAGGGAAGAACGGUCACUGUGUUAAUCAGCAGUGAAUUGACGGUACCUGCAAAGGACGCACCGGCUAACUCCGUGCCAGCAGCCGCGGUAAUACGGAGGGUGCGAGCGUUAAUCGGAAUUACUGGGCGUAAAGCGCUCGUAGGCGGUAUGUCAAGUCAAGGGUGAAAUCCCCGCGCUCAACGUGGGAACUGCCUUUGAAACUGGCAAACUGGAGUGUGUGAGAGGAUAGUGGAAUUCCAGGUGUAGGAGUGAAAUCCGUAGAUAUCUGGAGGAACAUCAGUGGCGAAGGCGACUAUCUGGAACAUAACUGACGCUGAGGAGCGAAAGCGUGGGUAGCAAACAGGAUUAGAUACCCCUGUAGUC